ACAGGCGGCCAGCGAAACGGCUUAAAGCCGGGCCAAGUGGCAACUGCCAGUGGCAAGUAACAAAGUGGAGAGGUGCCCGGCGGCCAGUGGAACCCAAGACCCAGCGCAUUGGAACGCACCGCAUCGUAUGGCAUCGCAUCGCAUCGCGCAUCAAGCCAAACCAAACCAAACCAACCCAACCCAACCCAAGUGAUCCCGGGGCGAAUCGAACCCGAUCCCCUCGUGCUGCUUUAUGGCAUUGGGCGCCACCCAAUUAAAAGGCACUCGUCGGCCAUUAAAAGCCGGGUCCGUGCGGGAGAAUCUGUAGAAUCGGAGGAACUGGGACAGGCAUCGUGAGCUGGGACCAGUGCAACAUUUCGCCGUAUUUUUUGCAAUUAGAGAAUUAUUAAAGUGUCGUUAAACGGCCGGGGAGCCUGGCAUAUGAAUCAUGCCCACUUUUAUGACGACUGUCAGGGCUCGUGAGUAUUUAUGACCUCGCACAAUGGCCAUAAUACCGAGGGAGAAAGGAGGUGGAAGCCGUAGGGGAAUGUUACUGCAUCCCAGCAGCGGGUGUUUUGAGUAUAUCGAAUAUUCAGAGCUGUUAGGCAAGUGGGCUCUGAUCUGGGUAAUCAAAGGGGAUUACAGGAAGACGAACUAACGGAAAAAUCGCUGUGAAAUCAAGCCAGCAGACACAAAAGUCUUUGGAGAAAUCGUGAUUUACGUUGGAGCCAAAAGAAAGUUGCACAAAUAUUGAAAUAUUAUAUCCAUAUUUAUUGGAGCUGUCUCUGUGCUCCGAAGACCAAAAAAAAAAUAAGAAACUCGUAAUGCCAGCGAGGAAAUUGAAUCAAUGAAUUUAGUGCGACCAUCAGCAGAAAUUACUUUUAUGAUAAAAAAGAUACUAAAGUCCGGACCCAAAAUCCAUCCAUCCAAAUCCAACCACCCCCGAAGUCCAGGAUGGCCAGGAAGUGCGGACCGGACAAAGAAGCUGGCUAUCUCAUAUCAUAAUAAGCGCUCAUCAAUUUCCAUUAAAUUUAAUAUGUCACUUGGCCAAAGGACAAUGCCCGGAACAGGACACUGUCCUUUUCCGCUCGUCAUCAUCGUAAAAAGCGACCGGACCAUAAAAAAGCUUUUUCAUAAUUUCCCUCGAAGUGCGCGUGAGCGGAAAUAAAAUAUGAUAUGAGCUUGU
rnacentral:sRNA from 1 species